rnacentral:rRNA from 1 species
UACGUAGGUGGCAAGCGAUACUCGGAAUCACUAGGCGUAAAGCGCAGGUAGGCGGUUCGGUAAGUCUUUUGUGAAAGCUCCCGGCUUAACUGGGAGAGGUCAAGGGAAACUACCGGGCUAGAGUGUGGUAGGGGAUACUGGAAUUCCUGGUGUAGCGGUGAAAUGCGUAGAUAUCAGGAGGAAUACCUAUGGCGAAAGCAGGUAUCUGGGCCAUCACUGACGCUGAGCUGCGAAAGCUAGGGGAGCAAACAGG